GGGAAUCAGGGUUCGAUUCCGGAGAGGGAGCCUGAGAAACGGCUACCACAUCCAAGGAUGGCAGCAGGCGCGCAAAUUACCCAAUCCAGACACUGGGAGGUGGUGACGAGAAAUACCAGGUCGUUCCCAAAAGGAUUCGACACUGGAAUGAGUGCAACUUAAAAACUUCAACGAGUAACAACUGGAGGGCAAGUCUGGUGCCAGCAGCCGCGGUAAUUCCAGCUCCAGUAGUGUAUCCAAACGUUGCUGCGGUUAAAACGCUCGUAGUUGGACAAUAGAGUAGCUUGGUGCGGGCGGGGAGCGUAAUUAAUCUUCGCAAGCGUCUUUUUGUGGCCACAAGUCAGCUUCGGUUGCUUGUGGUUCGGGGGAUUGCUGCUUAGAGGACGCGCUUGUCGACCAUGCUGCCAGGCUACUUGUAAUGUUUCGUGAGAAUAGUACAUGAUCUUUAUUGUAUUGUGUACUGUGUCUUACGUAGUGUGCCUUGAAUAAAUCAGAGUGCUCAAAGCAAGCAAUUGCUUGAAUGUUAAUAGCAUGGAACGAAUGUUUUGUGGAAGUGGUUCACUUGUGUCAUUCGUGGCAUCAGUGAUUCACAGCACCAACCACGAAGCGGAACGUUGGUUACCGUCUUCGGGUGAGGAUUAAGAGGGGCAUUUGGGGGGUAUUAGUAUUUGGCCGCGAGAGGUGAAAUUCUUGGACCGGCCAAGGACUAACAAGUGCGAAAGCAUUUACCAAGUAUGUUCCCAUUAAUCAAGAACGAAAGUGCGAGGUUCGAAGACGAUCAGAUACCGUCCUAGUUCGCACCGUAAACGAUGCCAACCCGGGAUCAGUUCGGAUGCACAUCAUUUGAUCCAGGUUGGUCCCCCUGGGAAACCUUGAGUUUUUAGGUUCCGGGGGGAGUAUGGUUGCAAGGCUGAAACUUAAAGGAAUUGACGGAAGGGCACCACCAGGGGUGGAGCCUGCGGCUUAAUUUGACUCAACACGGGAAAACUCACCUGGUCCGGACAUCGAUAGGAUUGACAGACUAAUAGAUCUUUCAUGAUACGGUGGGUGGUGGUGCAUGGCCGUUCUUAGUUCGUGGACUGAUCUGUCUGGUUUAUUCCGAUAACGAACGAGACCACGAUCUUCAUUUAGGGAACUGGAGUACAGGUGCUGACAUACGUAAUCAGCUGUUAGCCGGGUGUUUCGACACUUUGCUACCAGUCGGCUAUGCUUGAUGGCACUUGCAACUCUGGUUUACGUUCAGCAAUGUUCGCCCUAUGGAGAGACAGCCGGAAUGUAAGCCGGAGGAAGCGUGGCAAUAACAGGUCUGUGAUGCCCUUCGAUGUUCAGGGCCGCACGCGCGCUACAAUGAUAACGACAGCGAGAGUCUGGACUGAAAGGUUCUGGGUAAUCUUGUGAAUCGUUAUCGUGAUGGGGAUUGAGCAUUGUAAUUGUUGCUCAUGAAAUAGGAAUCCCUUGUAUACGUGUCUCACUGAGGACACGUAGAAUGCGUCUCUGCCCUUUGUACACACCGCCCGUCGCUACUACCGAGUGAAUGGUGUCAUGAUGUCUUGGGACUGGACGCUGUUGGCAACGAAAGUUGCGGACGAUGCUAGGAUCAAGACAAAA
rnacentral:rRNA from 1 species